rnacentral:rRNA from 1 species
CCUACGGGAGGCAGCAGUGGGGAAUCUUGCACAAUGGAGGAAACUCUGAUGCAGCGAUGCCGCGUGAGUGAAGAAGGCCUUUGGGUUGUAAAGCUCUUUUGUAGGGGAAGAUAAUGACUGUACCCUAAGAAUAAGGUCCGGCUAACUUCGUGCCAGCAGCCGCGGUAAUACGAAGGGACCUAGCGUAGUUCGGAAUUACUGGGCGUAAAGCGCGCGUAGGCCGUUGAGUUAGUUAAUUGUGAAAUCCCAAAGCUUAACUUUGGAACUGCAAUUAAAACUGCUCGACUAGAGUUUGAUAGAGGAAAGCGGAAUACAUAGUGUAGAGGUGAAAUUCGUAGAUAUUAUGUAGAACACCAGUUGCGAAGGCGGCUUUCUGGAUCAACACUGACGCUGAGGCGCGAAAGUAUGGGUAGCAAAGAGGAUUAGAUACCCUCGUAGUCCAUACCAUAAACGAUGAUUGUCUAGAUAGUUAGGUAAAGUUUAAUUUUACUUAGUAUACGUCAGACUAACGUACAUUAAGUACAACUACCGCCGUCGGGGUAGGGUACGGACCGGACCGAAACGGUUAAAACCGUUAAACCGUAAACUAAGAAGUUAAGGUACGGUCGUUGAGUACGUUAGCCGAACGGACGACGACGAGGGGAGGGUUAGG